UACGUAGGGUGCGAGCGUUAAUCGGAAUUACUGGGCGUAAAGCGUGCGCAGGCGGUGAUGUAAGACAGAUGUGAAAUCCCCGGGCUCAACCUGGGACCUGCAUUUGUGACUGCAAGGCUUGAGGAUCGGAGAGGUUGGCGGUAUUCCUAGUGUAGAGGUGAAAUUCGCAGAUAUUAGGAGGAACACCGAUGGCGUAAGCAGCCAACUGGACGAUUACUGACGCUGAGAUACGAAAGUAUGGGGAGCAAACAGG
rnacentral:rRNA from 1 species